rnacentral:rRNA from 1 species
GACGAACGCUGGCGGCGUGCUUAGCACAUGCCAGUCGAACGGAAAGGCCCUGCUUUUGUGGGGUGCUCGAGUGGCGAACGGGUGAGUAGCACGUGAGUAACCUGCCCUUGACUUUGGGAUAACUUCAGGAAACUGGGGCUAAUACCGGAUAGGAGCUCCUGCUGCAUGGUGGGGGUUGGAAAGUUUCGGCGGUUGGGGAUGGACUCGCGGCUUAUCAGCUUGUUGGUGGGGUAGUGGCUUACCAAGGCUUUGACGGGUAGCCGGCCUGAGAGGGUGACCGGCCACAUUGGGACUGAGAUACGGCCCAGACUCCUACGGGAGGCAGCAGUGGGGAAUAUUGCACAAUGGGCGGAAGCCUGAUGCAGCAACGCCGCGUGCGGGAUGACGGCCUUCGGGUUGUAAACCGCUUUCGCCUGUGACGAAGCGUGAGUGACGGUAAUGGGUAAAGAAGCACCGGCUAACUACGUG